GACAAUGGAGGCAACUCUGAUCCAGCCAUGCCGCGUGAAAGAAUAAGGCCCUAUGGGUUGUAAACUUCUUUUAGACGGGACAAAACCCCUUUACGUGUAAAGGGUUGAUGGUACUGUCAGAAUAAGCAUCGGCUAACUUCGUGCCAGCAGCCGCGGUAAUACGAAGGAUGCAAGCGUUAUCCGGAAUUAUUGGGUUUAAAGGGUGCGUAGGCGGACUAAUAAGUCAGUGGUGAAAGCCUGCAGCUUAACUGCAGAAUUGCCAUUGAUACUGUUAGUCUUGAGUACAGUUGAGGUAGGCGGAAUGUGUCAUGUAGCGGUGAAAUGCUUAGAUAUGACACAGAACACCGAUUGCGAAGGCAGCUUGCUAAGCUGUAACUGACGCUGAGGCACGAAAGCGUGGGGAGCAAACA
rnacentral:rRNA from 1 species